rnacentral:rRNA from 1 species
GACGAACGCUGGCGGCGUGCUUAACACAUGCAAGUCGAACGAUGAAGCGGGUGCUUGCACUCGUGGAUUAGUGGCGAACGGGCGAGUAACACGUGAGUAACCUGCCCUUUUCUUUGGGAUAACGUCUGGAAACGGCUGCUAAUACUGGAUAUUCAGGCUGCAUCGCUUGUGGGGGUUUGGAAAUGUUUUUUCUUGGGUUUGGUGGGGUCGCUGCAUAUCAGCUUGUUGGUGGGGUGGUGGCUUAGCAAGGCUUUGACUGGUAGGCGGCCUGGGAGGGUGGGCGGGCGCACGGGGAGUGAGAUUCGGCCCAGACUACGGCGGGAGGCAGCAGUGGGGAAAAUUGCACAAUAGAGUGAAGUUUGAUGCAGCGACGCAGCGUGGAGCGUGUAGGCCUGAGGGUUGUGAACUCCUUUUUAUCGCGAAAAAGGCAGAGUUUUGGCUGUGUUGAUGGUAGUGGGGGAAGAAGCGCCGGCUAACUACGUG